GCGGUAGUAGCUCAGUGGUAGAGUGCCACCUUGCCAAGGUGGAUGUCGCGAGUCCGAAUCUCGUCUACCGCUCCA
rnacentral:tRNA from 6 species